UACGUAGGUGGCAAGCGUGGUCCGGAUUUAUUGGGUUUAAAGGGUGCGUAGGCGGUCUUCUAAGUCAGUUGUGAAAUACUUCAGCUUAACUGGAGAGGUGCAAUUGAUACUGGAAGACUUGAGUACUGAUGAGGUAGGCGGAAUGGACGGUGUAGCGGUGAAAUGCUUAGAUAUCGUCCAGAACACCGAUAGCGAAGGCAGCUUACUAAGGAGUAACUGACGCUGAGGCACGAAAGUGUGGGGAUCAAACAGG
rnacentral:rRNA from 1 species